CCUACGGGUGGCAGCAGUGAGGAAUAUUGGUCAAUGGCCGGAAGGCUGAACCAGCCAUGCCGCGUGAAGGUCAGUGCCCUUUGGGCGUUAAACUUCUUUUGUGCGGGAGCAAUAAUGGUCACGUGUGGCCAGACGAGAGUACCGUACGAAUAAGCAUCGGCGAACUCCGUGCCAGCAGCCGCGGUAAUACGGGGGAGGCAAGCGUUAUCCGGAUCUUUUGGGUUGAAAGGGUGCGUAGGCUGGGGGGUAAGUCAGAGGUGAAAAGCCCCCGCUCAACGGGGUGAAGUGCCAUUGAUACUGCCUUGCUGGAGUGCGGAUGCGGUAGGAGGAAUGUGUGGUGUAGCGGUGAAAUGCAUAGAUAUCACACAGAACACCGAUUGCGAAGGCAUCUCACGAAUCCGCGAUUGGCGCUGAUGCACGAAAGCGUGGGGAUCAAACAGGAUUAGAUACCCCAGUAGUC
rnacentral:rRNA from 1 species